AGAGUUUGAUCCUGGCUCAGGAUGAACGCUAGCGGCAGGCUUAACACAUGCAAGUCGAGGGGCAGCACGUCUUCGGAUGGUGGCGACCGGCGCACGGGUGCGUAACGCGUAUANNNNNNNNNNNNNNNNNNNNNNNNNNNNNNNNNNNGAAAUCGGGAUUAAUACCUCAUAACACUGCGAAGUGGCAUCACUUUGCAUUUAAAGCUCCGGCGGUUAAAGAUGGGCAUGCGUGACAUUAGCUAGUUGGUGGGGUAACGGCCCACCAAGGCUACGAUGUCUAGGGGUUCUGAGAGGAUGAUCCCCCACACUGGUACUGAGACACGGACCAGACUCCUACGGGAGGCAGCAGUGAGGAAUAUUGGUCAAUGGGCGAAAGCCUGAACCAGCCAUGCCGCGUGCAGGAAGACUGCCCUAUGGGUUGUAAACUGCUUUUAUACAGGAAGAAACACUCGGACGUGUCCGAGCUUGACGGUACUGUAUGAAUAAGCACCGGCUAACUCCGUGCCAGCAGCCGCGGUAAUACGGAGGGUGCAAGCGUUAUCCGGAAUCAUUGGGUUUAAAGGGUCCGUAGGCGGACUAAUAAGUCAGAGGUGAAAUCCCCGGGCUCAACCGAGAAACUGCCAUUGAUACUGUUAGUCUUGAGUUAUAUGGAAGUAGAUAGAAUGUGUAGUGUAGCGGUGAAAUGCUUAGAUAUGAUACAGAACACCGAUCGCGAAGGCAGCUUACGAAACUACAACUGACGCUCAGGGACGAAAGCGUGGGGAGCGAACAGGAUUAGAUACCCUGGUAGUCCACGCCGUAAACGAUGAUCACUCGCUGUUUGCGAUAUACAGUCGGUGGCUAAGCGAAAGUGAUAAGUAAUCCACCUGGGGAGUACGAUCGCAAGAUUGAAACUCAAAGGAAUUGACGGGGGCCCGCACAAGCGGAGGAGCAUGUGGUUUAAUUCGAUGAUACGCGAGGAACCUUACCUGGGCUUAAAUGCUUAAUGACGUACUGGGAAACCGGUAUUUCUUCGGACGUUUUGCAAGGUGCUGCAUGGUUGUCGUCAGCUCGUGCCGUGAGGUGUCGGGUUAAGUCCCAUAACGAGCGCAACCCUUAUCGUUAGUUGCCAGCGGGUCAAGCCGGGGACUCUAGCGAGACUGCCACCGUAAGGUGUGAGGAAGGUGGGGAUGACGUCAAAUCAGCACGGCCCUUAUGUCCAGGGCUACACACGUGCUACAAUGGCCGGUACAGAGGGCAGCCAUCCCGCGAGGGAGAGCAAAUCUCAAAAGCCGGUCUCAGUUCGGAUCGGAGUCUGCAACCCGACUUCGUGAAGUUUGAUUGGCUAGUAAUCGCAUAUCAGCCAUGAUGCGGUGAAUACGUUCCCGGGCCUUGUACACACCGCCCGUCAAACAAUGGAAGCUGGGGGUACCUGAAGUCUGUAACCGCAAGGAGCGGCCUAGGGUAAAACUAGUAACUGGUGUUAAGUCGUAACAAGGUAACC
rnacentral:rRNA from 1 species